rnacentral:rRNA from 1 species
CAGUAGCCGCGGUAAUACGAGGGGGGCGAGCGUUAAUCGGAAUUACUGGGCGUAAAGCGUGCGCAGGCGGUUAUAUAAGACAGAUGUGAAAUCCCCGGGCUCAACCUGGGACCUGCAUUUGUGACUGUAUAGCUAGAGUACGGUAGAGGGGGAUGGAAUUCCGCGUGUAGCAGUGAAAUGCGUAGAUAUGCGGAGGAACACCGAUGGCGAAGGCAAUCCCCUGGACCUGUACUGACGCUCAUGCACGAAAGCGUGGGGAGCAAACAGGAUUAGAUACCCCAGUAGUCCCUGUCUCUUAUAC